AUGCCGCGUGUGUGAAGAAGGCCUUCGGGUUGUAAAGCACUUUCAGUCGUGAGGAAGGUGGUGUAGUUAAUAGCUGCAUUACUUGACGUUAGCGACAGAAGAAGCACCGGCUAACUCCGUGCCAGCAGCCGCGGUAAUACGGAGGGUGCGAGCGUUAAUCGGAAUUACUGGGCGUAAAGCGCAUGCAGGUGGUUUGUUAAGUCAGAUGUGAAAGCCCGGGGCUCAACCUCGGAAUAGCAUUUGAAACUGGCAGACUAGAGUACUGUAGAGGGGGGUAGAAUUUCAGGUGUAGCGGUGAAAUGCGUAGAGAUCUGAAGGAAUACCGGUGGCGAAGGCGGCCCCCUGGACAGAUACUGACACUCAGAUGCGAAAGCGUGGGGAGCAAACAGGAUUAGAUACCCUGGUAGUCCACGCCGUAAACGAUGUCUACUUGGAGGUUGUGGCCUUGAGCCGUGGCUUUCGGAGCUAACGCGUUAAGUAGACCGCCUGGGGAGUACGGUCGCAAGAUUAAAACUCAAAUGAAUUGACGGGGGCCCGCACAAGCGGUGGAGCAUGUGGUUUAAUUCGAUGCAACGCGAAGAACCUUACCUACUCUUGACAUCCAGAGAACUUUCCAGAGAUGGAUUGGUGCCUUCGGGAACUCUGAGACAGGUGCUGCAUGGCUGUCGUCAGCUCGUGUUGUGAAAUGUUGGGUUAAGUCCCGCAACGAGCGCAACCCUUAUCCUUGUUUGCCAGCGAGUAAUGUCGGGAACUCCAGGGAGACUGCCGGUGAUAAACCGGAGGAAGGUGGGGACGACGUCAAGUCAUCAUGGCCCUUACGAGUAGGGCUACACACGUGCUACAAUGGCGCAUACAGAGGGCAGCAAGCUAGCGAUAGUGAGCGAAUCCCAAAAAGUGCGUCGUAGUCCGGAUUGGAGUCUGCAACUCGACUCCAUGAAGUCGGAAUCGCUAGUAAUCGUGGAUCAGAAUGCCACGGUGAAUACGUUCCCGGGCCUUGUACACACCGCCCGUCACACCAUGGGAGUGGGCUGCAAAAGAAGUAGGUAGUUUAACCUUCGGGAGGACGC
rnacentral:rRNA from 1 species